GAUGAACGCUGGCGGCGUGCCUAAUACAUGCAAGUCGAGCGAACGGACGAGAAGCUUGCUUCUCUGAUGUUAGCGGCGGACGGGUGAGUAACACGUGGAUAACCUACCUAUAAGACUGGGAUAACUUCGGGAAACCGGAGCUAAUACCGGAUAAUAUUUUGAACCGCAUGGUUCAAAAGUGAAAGACGGUCUUGCUGUCACUUAUAGAUGGAUCCGCGCUGCAUUAGCUAGUUGGUAAGGUAACGGCUUACCAAGGCAACGAUGCAUAGCCGACCUGAGAGGGUGGUCGACCACACUGGAACUGAGACACGGUCCAGACUCCUACGGGAGGCAGCAGUAGGGAAUCUUCCGCAAUGGGCGAAAGCCUGACGGAGCAACGCCGCGUGAGUGAUGAAGGUCUUCGGAUCGUAAAACUCUGUUAUUAGGGAAGAACAUAUGUGUAAGUAACUGUGCACAUCUUGACGGUACCUAAUCAGAAAGCCACGGCUAACUACGUG
rnacentral:rRNA from 1 species